rnacentral:rRNA from 1 species
GACGAACGCUGGCGGCGUGCUUAACACAUGCAAGUCGAGCGGUAAGGCCCUUUCGGGGGUACGACGAGCGGCGAACGGGUGGAGUAACACGUGGGUGACCUGCCCUCCAGCUCUGGGAUAAGCCUGGGAAACCGGGGUCUAAUACCGGAUAUGACUCCAUGACGCAUGUUGUGGGGUGGAAAGCCUUGUGCGGCUGAGGAUGGGCCCGCGGCCUAUCAGCUUGUUGGUGGGGUGAUGGCCUACCAAGGCGACGACGGGUAGCCGG